rnacentral:misc_RNA from 1 species
UGUUUCCUUCCCUGCAAAGCA